rnacentral:other from 1 species
CACAGGCUGCAUUGUACGUAUUCACAUUAAGUUUUAACCUUUAAGCUGUAAAAGGGAGUUUUACAUUGAAACAGGAAUGGUAUGCCGAUUCAUUAUUAAUCGGGACGAACAGGAGCGUUUCUGCGAACACCCACUUUGAGGAGUGGUGGUUUAAAACUUUCUAUGACUCGAUACGGCAAAAGCGGCUUGUUU